rnacentral:rRNA from 1 species
UACGUAGGGGGCGAGCGUUGUCCGGAAUCAUUGGGCGUAAAGAGCGUGUAGGCGGUCUGGAAGGUCUGGUGUGAAAGCCCGGGGCUCAACCCCGGAGGGUCACUGGAAACCAACAGUCUUGAAUCUGGAAGAGGAGAGUGGAAUUCCUGGUGUAGCGGUGGAAUGCGCAGAUAUCAGGAGGAACACCGAUGGCGAAGGCAGCUCUCUGGUACAUGAUUGACGCUGAGACACGAAAGCGUGGGGAGCAAACAGG